CCUACGGGUGGCUGCAGUGGGGAAUAUUGCGCAAUGGGCGCAAGCCUGACGCAGCGACGCCGCGUGAGGGAUGAAGGUCUUCGGAUCGUAAACCUCUGUCAGCAGGGAAGAAAGGUCACUGUGCUAAUCAGCAGUGAAUUGACGGUACCUGCAAAGGACGCACAGGCUACCUCCGUGCCCGCAGCCGCGGUAAUACGGAGGGUGCGAGCGUUAAUCGGAAGUACUGGGCGUAAAGCGCUCGUAGGCGUUAUGUCAAGUCAAGGGGUAAAUCCCCGCGCUGAACGUGGGAACUGCCUUUGAAACUGGCAAACUGGAGUGUGUGAGAGGAUAGUGGAAGUCCAGGUGUAGGAGUGAAAUCCGUAGAUAUCUGGAGGAAAAUCAGUGGCGAAGGCGACUAUCUGGCACAUAACUGACGCUGAGGAGCGAAAGCGUGGGUAGCAAACAGGAUUAGAUACCCCAGUAGUC
rnacentral:rRNA from 1 species